GACGAACGCUGGCGGCGUGCCUAACACAUGCAAGUCGAGCGAGAUUAUCUCUUCGGAGAUAGUCUAGCGGCGGACGGGUGAGUAACACGUGGGUAACCUGCCUAUAAGACUGGGAUAACUUCGGGAAACCGGAGCUAAUACCAGAUAAUUCACAUCUACUCAUGUAGAUGUGCUGAAAGACGGUUUACGCUGUCACUUAUAGAUGGGCCCGCGGCGCAUUAGCUAGUUGGUGAGGUAACGGCUCACCAAGGCCACGAUGCGUAGCCGACCUGAGAGGGUGAUCGGCCACACUGGGACUGAGACACGGCCCAGACUCCUACGGGUGGCUG
rnacentral:rRNA from 1 species